rnacentral:rRNA from 1 species
GACGAACGCUGGCGGCGUGCUUAACACAUGCAAGUCGAACGAAGUGGCGAACGGGUGAGUAACGCGUAAUCAACCUGCCCUUCAGAGGGGGACAACAGUUGGAAACGACUGCUAAUACCGCAUACUGAAGGAGGGGAUUGCGUCUGAUUAGCUAGUUGGAGGGGUAACGGCCCACCAAGGCGAUGAUCAGUAGCCGGUCUGAGAGGAUGAACGGGCACAUGGGGAAUGGGACACGGCCCAGACUCCUUCGGGGGGCAGCAGUGGGGAAUCUUCCGCCAUGGACGAAAGUCUGAGGGGGCAACGACGCGGGAGUGGUGACUGCCUUCGGGUUGUAAAGCUCUGUUAAUCGGGACGCGGUACCGAAAUAGAAAGCCACGGCUAACUACGUGCCAGCAGCCGCGGUAAUAC